AGACGAGCAGUGGAUACCUUCACAGUUAUUUCUGGUCUGUGCACAAAAAGGAUUCAUCCAGUGACCUGUGAAAAACUCUACUGAAUUGUCCAGAGACCCUGGUCCUCACCUUGGCCUGUGUCUUUGAGCAAAUCCCUUACCUUCUCCCUCCCUGUGCUUCAGUUUCCUCAGGCUGGGCCUACGUCACGUUUUUCCAACAUCUGAUGUGUGUGCCUCUGGGGGUUCACAAGAAGACUUUAAGUGACCUUCUCACUCAGCCCUAAAGAUGGAACCUGUGGGUACUCGGAGAGAUACCACAACUUGAGUCCCAAAGAAGAGGCCAGUUAUCCACCCACCUUCCCGCAGAACCUUAAGCACCCACCCCAGCACAGUAGGAAAAGGAAAGUGUGUGAAGACUCAGAUCCUGGCCAUGUCAGCUUGAAGCCAUGACCUGACUUGCUAUGUCUCCUCAGUUGUAGACCAAGGGCAGUGGUAUCUGCCCUCCCCUCCUACAGGGCUGAUGUGGGGCAUUUCACUGAGGAAGGGACCUGGGUGCUCACUUAGGCCCGAGGAAGCAGAGAGAUGCCCAUGGUUACAUGGCUUUAUGAGUCUCCAGGCCUGGAGAGGACCCGCCUCCUGACUCCUGGCCCUGGGCUCUUUUGCACCCGUUCACCCUGUAAUUUUGUGUGAAAGUGUUGUCAUCGUCCUGCUGAUGUGAAGGAGUAAAUGGAGGUUGAGCACCUGGAGUCUUGGAGCAGCAAGUGUCGAUGUUGAGAUCCUCGUCUGUGAAGGGUGUGCCAGAAAUGGAUGGCAGUUUAAUAAAACAGAUGCUGGAUUUUCUCAUCACUUUUGCCCUUGAGUGUGUUGAGGAGAGCUGGGGAGAUGGACAGGGGGAGCUGAAAGCCGAGGCUCCAUCCUCGUCUCUAAACUCUCCGUUAACCAAUUUAAAGGGUCUUAAAAGCUUCGCUAAGAGAGAGACUUAGAGAAAAAUGAUUUCUGAGUCAACGCUAAUGAUUCCAAUUACUGAAUUUGUGAAUAGCUGCUCCCUAGCUUCUGGAUGUUAGCCCAAGUUCAAUAGCAUAGAUGUGGUUGAGGGUGGGGGGUGGGAGGGAUGAAGACCAAACUCCCUGGUGACUGUUCAAAUGGGAAAGACCACCCAGCUUGGCCCGUUCAGAGGUGGGAGGAGUUGGGGGGGGUCCACAUUUCCUUCUCUGCUGCCCACCCCUUUCUCUCCCUUACCACUCGUGGUCCUGCCAUAUUUUUCCCAGCACCUUCAUCUCUCCGAUGGAGCCCUAAGCUUCCUCUAGCUCCAGCACCUCCCUUUCCAGGGCUGCCCUGCACACUGGCCUCCCCCAACUGGUCCCCUCAUUUGGCUACCUCCCACAGAUGGCUCCUUAGGAGCAGGGACCUUGUCUUUGUAAUUCACUAUCCUCAGCACUUAGCACAAGGCCCCGUGUAGGUAAGGGCUCAAUACACACGUUGGUUAAAGCCCAGGUUUUUAAGCUGCACAGUGCACUAAUCUUUCUGCAAAAAAAAAAAAGUUUCUGUGGUCAAAUAAGUUUGGGAAAUGCUGCACUAAACAUCCCCUUUUUUAUAGAUUCACAAUGCAUAUCAGCAUAUUCAAAGUUCCAAGAAGUCCUGCAGUAAAGAACUUGGUUAACCCAAUGUUUCCCAACGUGAGUUGAGCACAGAGCCUGGCUCCCUGCAGAUUGCAAAGGAACCUUCCUGGGGCACCGUCUGUGUAAGAUGUCACUUCCUGCCCUCCCGUGUAGCCCCACUUGCCAGCCUCUUCCCCUCCUCUUGACAUUUUGGGUUCUCUGAUUACCACUUCCUCCUGACCAUGUCUGGGGCUGAGGGGCACUUCAGAUAGUCCGGGAACACUGGGCGUCCUGUGUUGAUGGCCACAUGCGCCUCCCCUCCCCCUCCGUUGUUACAAGUUAAGUACUCAUUCAAUUUGGUGUGCCAAAUGUGAAGAUGGGAUAUUUUUAAGCUCUCUUUGUGGAAAGGGAAGGAUGGAAGAGUCGUGAGAGAUGCUGUCAAGGGACCAAAAAUCCUUGGCUGUUCAUUCACUGCGGUUUCCAUCGGUCCCAGGGGAUGGGCUUCAUCGGCAGACCCGGGAACUGCUGCAUUCUUGCUGUGAAAAUUCCGAUAUUAAUGACUCAUAGUCAGUGUCCUGAAAGGAAAUGUGAGAGGCGGACAGGGAGGUGGCCCUUGUCAGCAGGGCCACCCUGGGUCGGAAUACAGGGUGACCCAAGGUUUGAGGCCUGUGCCCUCAGCAAUGAGACCUUUGUGCAAGACUCUGCUGCCUCAGUUUCCUUAUCUGGAAAUGCUGUUUUCGGGGAGCCCUGACAACAGUGAGAACAAGGCUGCUUGGUUCAUUUUAUCUUCAGUGCUAAUACAGUGCAGGACACUCAGUAAAUGCUCAGUAAACAUUUAUUCAGUGAGUGUGUGAUUCUAUGCAUUGCCCCCUGUCCACCCAACACCCAGCACCAAGCCCACCCAGCACAUAGUAGGUGCUUUAAAUAUUUGUUGAAUAUUUGAAUAUUAAAAUAAAUGUUGAAUGAAUGAUUCUGUGUACCCCUCCCCCCACUGCUAUUCCUAGUGCUG
rnacentral:lncRNA from 1 species